rnacentral:tRNA from 1 species
GGCUCAGUGGCGAAGUAGAAACGCGGCGGAUUGCAAACCCGCUAUGCACGGAUGCGAUUUCCGUCUGGGCCU